rnacentral:rRNA from 1 species
CACGUAGGGUGCGAGCGUUGUCCGGAAUUAUUGGGCGUAAAGAGCUCGUAGGCGGUGUGUCGCGUCGGCCGUGAAAACCUGCAGCUUAACUGUGGGCUUGCGGUCGAUACGGGCAUCACUGGAGUUCGGCAGGGGAGACUGGAAUUCCUGGUGUAGCGGUGAAAGUGCGCAGAUAUCAGGAGGAAACACCGGUGGCGAAGGCGGGUCUCUGGGGCCGAUACUG